UGUAGUGAUGCUAUGCUUCUGGAAGCAGAUCUAUGUCAGCUUUCCGAAUCUGCAUCUCUGUUGCCCUGCACGACCUUUGUUAAGUUGUCUGAAGUAAGGAGAAGACAGGCGAUGCAGUUGGUCUAUUUGAUUCGACUUCGAGGACAUGAAUGGAGGAUGCGUAAGUUGGUAUAUUCUAAACCUAUCUGGCCAAGUGCCGUCAGGUUCAUAGUGUUGAGAUUGGAGCUUUUUUAUCACUAUAUGUGUCGAUUAGGAUUAGGGGGGCAAUAGUGCGAUCUUCAACAGCCUAAGGGACUGAACUUGGAGAGUAGUAGGGACACCGACUGCUCCACGAAAUAUAGCACAUCUCUGUCUGGUUCGUUAUCUUUGUUUUAAAUAACAUAGGAUAGAUUCUGUAUGUCCUGUGAGCAAAAACCUACCUUGUCUAAAACUACUGCGAUGAGUGGUAAUGUGAUAUCUCGGUUCUAGUCUUGUCCUCUUUUGGUCA